rnacentral:misc_RNA from 1 species
AAGUCGUAACAGGUUUCCGUAGGUGAACCUGCGGAAGGAUCAUUAACACGUAUCCAAACGUUAAACCCCUACUCGUACGUCCGUUAGAAAAAGCAGCAAUCCCUGGUAAAUCAUCGCCGAACAGUUUUCGAUUCAGGGAUGUCUGCAAGGAGCGUGCAUGUUGUGCGAGCAAGUGGCCUGGCAUCCCCAAGCAGUAGUGUCUGAAAGUGUCAUUAACGCAGUCACGAUCGUUGGAGGCCCACACGGCCGACGACCGGGUCACUGUGCGCAAGCCCCCGCAGAACCGAACAACUGGUAACAAUGGAUAUCUUGGUUCUC